GGGAAAUCUUACCGGGUCCGGACACGCUGAGGAUUGACAGGUUCUCUGCACUUGAAAAAAAAAAUUUUUUUUUUACUUUCUUGUGCUUCUAAAUGUGCUAGUCCUUUCAUGAUUGUGUGAUAGGUGGUGCAUGGCCGUUCUUAGUUCGUGGAGUGAUCUGUCUGCUUAAUUGCGUUUCAUUAUUGGACUUUACAAUAAUGUUAUAGUAUGAAAAUCUUGAUUCUAAUUUCAAAAAAUUUUUUCCAUUUGAUUUUUUUACUUUUUUUCUAAAAUCGUAAUAAUCAAUUAAUUUUUUUUGUUUACUAUUCAAUGUAAUUUUCUACAAUAGCAUGCUAAAGUCCUGAAGGCAACGA
rnacentral:rRNA from 1 species